rnacentral:rRNA from 1 species
GAUGAACGCUGGCGGCGUGCCUAAUACAUGCAAGUCGAGCGAAGCGGGGACGGGUGAGUAACACGUGGAUAACCUCCUAUAAGACUGGGAUAACUUCGGGAAACCGGGGCUAAACCGGAAAAUUCUAGCUGGAUGCGGGCUGCAUUAGCUAGUUGGUAAUGUAACGGCGUACAAAGGCAACGAUCCAUAGCCGAUCUGCGAGGGUGAUCGGCAACACUGGAAAUGAGACACGGUCCAGACUCAUACGGGAGGCAGCAGUAGGGAAUCUGACGCAAUGGGAGAAAGCCUGACGGAGCAACGCCGCGUGAGUGAUGAAGGCCUUCGGAUCGUAAAACUCUGUUAUUAGGGAAGCGUUACCUAAACAGAAAGCCACGGCUAACUACGUGCCAGCAGCCGCGGUAAUAC